GUUGAUUUAUUCUGUUUUAGGCCUUUUAGCUUUGCCUUCGCCUUUCGACGAAAAGCGAACGUAUGCAGUAGGUCAAUAUAUGAAACAGUUUCUACUGGUUAUGUUACAAGAUGCAACUUAACUUUGUCUUUGAUCGUGAUUGUAUCGAAACGAAUAUGGCCGAGGGUUACGACACAACUCGUUUUCAUUCAACUAUUGACGAGGGCUUUGUUUGCUGUAUCUGUCUCGGUGUCUUACAAGAUCCAAAGCAAUGUGAGAAGAACGAGC